GGAGGAAUAUUGGUCAAUGGCCGAGAGGCUGAACCAGCCAAGUCGCGUGAGGGAAGAAUGUCCUAUGGAUUGUAAACCUCUUUUGUCGGGGAGCAAAACGGUUCUGCGGAGCCCGAUUGAGAGUACCCGAAGAAAAAGCAUCGGCUAACUCCGUGCCAGCAGCCGCGGUAAUACGGAGGAUGCGAGCGUUAUCCGGAUUUAUUGGGUUUAAAGGGUGCGCAGGCGGUUUGUCAAGCAAGCGGUAAAAUCGCGGGGCUCAACCCCGCCCAGCCGUUUGAACUGGCGAACUUGAGUAUAUUCGAGGUAAGCGGAAUUCGUGGUGUAGCGGUGAAAUGCAUAGAUAUCACGAAGAACUCCGAUUGCGAAGGCAGCUUACCAGGAUGUUACUGACGCUCAGGCACGAAAGCGUGGGUAUCGAACAGGAUUAGAUACCC
rnacentral:rRNA from 1 species